rnacentral:rRNA from 1 species
UACGUAGGGUGCAAGCGUUAAUCGGAAUUACUGGGCGUAAAGCGUGCGCAGGCGGUUUUGUAAGUCUGUCGUGAAAUCCCCGGGCUCAACCUGGGAAUUGCGAUGGAGACUGCAAGGCUAGAAUCUGGCAGAGGGGGGUAGAAUUCCACGUGUAGCAGUGAAAUGCGUAGAGAUGUGGAGGAACACCGAUGGCGAAGGCAGCCCCCUGGGUCAAGAUUGACGCUCAUGCACGAAAGCGUGGGUAGCAAACAGG